UUAUUCACUAGGUAGUCAAACGUAUACAAAGAGCAGCAGAAGAGUCUAUAGACUUUUUGAAUCUUUUGUAGUGAUUAUAUUCUCAUUAGUAACCAUUAGUAUAUACAUACAACCGAAAACCCAAGGUUAUCUGCGAAACAAAAUAGGCGCAGAGUGAAACGGUCUGUUAGAUAAAUAUUUUUUUAUCGAUCAGUAAAAACCUGGCGUUAGUACACCAGUGUUAACACCAUAGUAAUACAUUGUUAAUUUUUUUACUUUGUAUUUAUACACAGGAGUAUGUUUCAUAACUAUUUAAUAUAAGAUUUUACGAUACUAUUUUCAUUUGCGGCUCUUGGCUUCUUCGGCUCUGCUUCUUCGCGAAGCAAAGUAAAGC
rnacentral:rRNA from 1 species